AGCGACGAAGCCCACUAAGAGAAAAAAGGGGUAGAAAUCAUGAGAAACGAAGAAGAGAAUUGCGGCGACUGAACGUGCCGGUGAAAAUCCAGAUGAAUCUGGAGAAGUUCAGAGAGUAUCUCCACAAGGUCAUCAGGAAUGUGGAAGUUCCCGAUCCGGUACGUUCUGUAAGUCCAGCUGUCAUCUUCGUUGCUACUGUGGACCUUUUUGAAGGUUUCGAGAUGAUGUGGGGUAGCCAAAGACGUAUCAAUGUGCCUCCGCCGGAAGAUGACGCUAAUCUCUUGACCUUCCUCACAUCUCGAGCUACAAUCGUUCCUGAACACAUUCACAGCGACGAGCUAGCAUCGAUCCUGCGUUAUAUCGAUGGUCCCUAUCUCGAGUCCUUCACAGCAGCCCUCAAGGAGAAAGCUACUACCAAAGAAGCUGAUAAAUCUAUCGGUAGACAACUCUGUGACUACGCCAUCAAGUUCUGCUACUACUUCCCAAACAGUGCCCUUUCCAGUGAUCAGGUGGAAACAGAAAGUGGUAGUAGCGCAAUGUACCCCUCAGACUCAGAUGCUACCUCUCAUGGCUUGGGUUUGGCAGUGGAGGAUGAAGAUGAGUUUGAAGAGGAGGAGGAUGAGAAGGAGCCUGUUCUCAAGGACGAGCCGAACUUGGCUGAAGUCAAAGAGGAGCCGCACUUGGUUGAAGUCAAGGAGGAGCUGAAAUUGGUUGAGGUCAAGGAAGAGCUUGUUGAGGUCAAGGAAGAGCCUGUUGACUUGGUUAAAGAGGCCAAUCGUAAGCGUCAUGCUUCAGCAAGCCCAACUUCUUCAUUAGGUUCGACUUAGAAGAAAUACUGUGAUGGCAGAGGAGUACAAGGAUCAAGACGUGGAAGUUUCUCGGGCAAUGACGUUGAAUGUUAUACUUGUUGAUAAAGAUGAUGACAAACGGAAUAAACAUCCUUGAAGCUGUGCAUGAAAACUGUAUUGUCUUCCAUCUUUUGUUUUGUUUUUAUGAUGUGGGGUGUGUGGAGGUUCUCUAGCGUGCUCGCUCGACGUCCCAUGUGAUUGUUAUGUUUGAUUGAAAAUAGGACCUGGAGAACUACGACAAACAAGAGAAUGAUAUGCUGGAUUUUGCUUUUGCAUUAACAGAACUGCAUGUCCUCCUUUCGCAUUAAAUUGUCUCAAUCGGGUUUGGUCGAAAAUGUCGCUAUUGGGAUGUCAAGUCAUUACACAACAAGAGCUAGAUGGUGUCCACUUGCCAUUGCUUCAGCCACUGAAUUUUGCUGUUGAUUGGUUCAUUUCUAAACCUCACUGGACCACUUCAAAGUCUCUCAGAGCAUAUGAUUAUUUAGGUUGUUAAGCUAAACGAGUUUUGGAAUUACACUUUGUUUAUUAUGAGAAAAUCUUAUUAGAUUAAAACUAUAGGAGAUAGUAAUUCAGAAGGUGAGAUAUUUCACAGAUUCAUUUCAUCUC